GUGCCAGCAGCCGCGGUAAUACGGAGGGUGCGAGCGUUAUCCGGAAUCACUGGGUUUAAAGGGUGCGUAGGCGGGGAAUUAAGUCAGUGGUGAAAUCUUGUCGCUUAACGAUAAAAUUGCCAUUGAUACUGAUUUUCUUGAAUUGGGUUGAGGUUAGCGGAAUGUGACAUGUAGCGGUGAAAUGCAUAGAUAUGUCAUGGAACACCAAUUGCGAAGGCAGCUAGCUGGGCCUUGAUUGACGCUGAGGCACGAAAGCGUGGGUAGCGAACAGGAUUAGAUACCCUUGUAGUCC
rnacentral:rRNA from 1 species